GAACAAGACGCCGAAUCCACAUCAACGGCAUAUGGUUUGCCGUCUCCACGUUAAACUGGCCAUUUAAAGCCACCGCUAGUUUGCCGUCUCCCCGAAUCUCUUUCCGGCGAGAAAACACGUGAGACGGUGGGGAGAGAGAGUUGAGAGCCGGUCCGGAGAGAAACUGAGAAAGAGCCAAGAGCGGAAAGGAGAUGGAGAGGAGCACCGACGCCGCUGUGGAGGGUGUUUUAGAAGCCCUAACGUCGAGGGGAUGGCGUUUCGGAGACCUCGACGGGGAGAUGCGAGCUCUUAUCCGGAGCUACGAGGCUUCCUCGUCUUCCUCCUCUUCCUCGUCGGCCGUGGAAAUGAUCGAGUCGGAGCUCUUGAACAUGGAUUUGCGAUCGUUCGGAGGGAAAUCGAUCCCCGACGCCUUCUCUUUGAAGAAAUCCUCCCAUCUCCGAGGCCCCAUAGUCUUGCAGGUAGUUUCUUCACGGGAUAUAUACCUAAGCAGCAUUGAUGCUUCCUUCAAAAACUCACAGCAUCAUCGUCGUCUCCUUCGAUUUGUUCUUACUGAUGGGCACUCUGAAGUAAUUGCUGUAGAAUAUGCCCCAAUUCCAUCUAUCACUGAGGAGAUAAUUCCUGGUACUAAGAUCCGCUUAGAGAACAAAAUUCCAAUACAUAAUGGGAUAUUGUGUCUGAAUUCUGAAGUUGUGACUGUAAUGGGAGGUACCGUACAAUGUCUCCAUGAAGAGUGGCAAAUGAGUCAGAAAUAUUCAGGUUUUUCUCGCUUAUCCCUGAAGUUAUCUCAGGAUGAUGAUGGCACUGGUCCUCCUCCAUUUGAGAAGUUACAUAUUGGAGCGCUUCCAUGUCGGGUGGACCAACUACAUAGUUCUCAUGAAGCUGAUGGUAGACAAGUAGGACAUAAAAUCCAUCAUGUGGUACACAAAGGACAUCAUUUUAAUGAUCCAGGGGCAGAUAAGAUGGUCAAUGAGCCAAAAAAGGACUCUGUAACUGAAAGAGCUGAAGAUAAACCUUGUAGUUCUGAUGCCAGGCCAAAAGAAGUGAGUGAAGCUGCUCCUGUUCAAAACCAAGCUGCUGCACAGAAGCUUCUGCAGAAAAUGAACCAGCCAUCACAUGAAGACAAGCAUCCUAGGGGUUACAAACAAAGAUAUAAAGCCAGACAAGAGGAGACUCCAGUUUUCACUUUAGAUGAAUGGGAAAGGAGAAAAGGCACUAACUGGAAGCCCAUAGUGACAGGGGAAGUCCAAGAUGUUAGCCAUGAUGAGGAGCUAGCUCGACAGCUUCAGAGUCAAAUGGAUUUAGAAGAUAUCCACGGAAAGACUGGACAGGCAGAGGCAGAACAGAUACGGUUGAGCAUGUUCAACUUUGGUGGGGCAGAAGAGAGGAAGAAUGAUGGCAGAAGAGAGUUCAGAGGAAGGGGAAGAGGGAGAAGAAGAUUCAGAUAAUUUGUCCAUUUCUAUGGUCAUUUCUUCUGCUGAUAGGAUGUCUGGGAAAUUGAUGAAGCCAGCCAAAAGAAUGUUCCUUGGGUGUUUCGGGUACAGGUGGUAACACCUAGUGGUUUCUGUUAAUGCCUGGAGAACUGCUUGUAGGCUACAAAUUUGAAUAACACCUUGUUAGUUUUCUAUUACCCGAAGCAGUUUCAUAACCUACAUCUGCAAGGACCACGAAUAUGGAUUCAGCGGUCACAUUAAUGUUCUCAUAGAUAUAAUAUUACAUCCAGAGGGAAUAGGCCUUUUGAAGAAGCAAGGAUAAAUAGAUUCUAUCAGCAUUCAGCUCAAUGUCAUAAAUAAAAGGAUCUCUUUUUCUCUCUGGUAUCACCUCGAGUCAUGUCCCCUUGGCAGGGUGUCCAAGGAUCUCAGGUUCUAAGGGCAUUUGAAUCUGGAAGUAGGAGGUAUCCAGACCAGUGAUAUGGCUACAUAAAAAAAUGCGCAUUGUAACCGUCACGGGCGGAGCACAUGUGGAGCACGUUAAUGGAGCUAUAUAAUCAAUGACAGGUGGCAUAAAAAUGCUUGACAUCAAAUGCAACCAAAGUGGAACCAUCCAGAAGUUGGCCACAUCUUCCAGUAGCGUAGAAGCACAAGUUUGGAUCUAGGAAGGUGUGUAUUAGUCUCUUCUAAUGUUUUCAAGGUUCUUGAAGAUCAGCUUCCACUCGGUGGCAGCCAAGGAAAAAGAAGAUAAAAGCCAUGAUAUCAGAACAGACAAGGGAUUGCUGUUGAAUAAGCUGUUGACACCAAUGGCCAAAUAUAUAGCUAAGCGCUCUCAGACUACAGUCUGUCGGCUUCUAUGAAUAGAUCAUUUAUUUGCGAGGGCCUCUGGAGCAGGCCUUUUUUGUACAUCGAAGCACCGCUCACUCUCUGAUAUAUGAAGACUUAAGGGGUUGCAAAGUGUCUGGCGACCAAACAUAGGUCGUUGUACGCUAAUAAAUCUUCAUUCAGACGCUA